AGGAGAAAGGUGAUCUGAUUUCUCAGCCAAGCCAUGACAGCUUGCAUUCAGGAGAAGAGGCUGGGAGACUGAUUUUUAACAGGGACCCAGUGGCACCAUCUCCAGUCCAGCCCUGACUCAAGCUACCGAUCAGCCUGGACUGAGUCAGGAAGAAACUCUCAUGCCAGAUUUCUUGCAUGCAAGCUAUUAAGUUCAUGUAUUAUAGGAAAUUAAGGUUUUCCAUGGGAUUAUAAAGCUAUGGCUUUGCCUCCUCCCUCAAGACUGCAUCUCAGCUUACACUGCAGCUUUUAUGAAACUUUAAUUACUUUGCAAGUAGUCUUUCUAGUUCUGAUCACUCUUAAAAAUGUAAACAAGCAAGAGUGUCAUCUGUUGAAACAAAAGUCAAUCAGCCAGCCUUUGCUUCUCAGCUUUUGCUACCCAAUCUGUUAUGCCUGUCACAACAAGUUGUCAGACUGUCACAAUAAAUGGCACAAGUUUAGGAUGUUGUUUUGUUUAGCUUUUGUAUGAAAUACUUUUGAGCACAUUUUAGUAGAGGGGUAUAAUUAAAGUAAAGCAAAUGAAUUCUGAAAGAGGGUAAUAAGUUACAGGUAGUUUAAAAUUGUUAUAAUAGUAUUUUCUCCUUAGUUUUUGGUUACUUGGAAGGACUGUAAAUUGUCACAGGUGGUUCCAGUUGGGAAUACUGAGGAAAUAAAUAUUGAUUAGAAACUUAGUUCUUGAAAGCCAGCAAACUAAGAAUGUGAAGAUUUCACUUACUUACUCAAAUUACUAAAUUGAUAAUUACUGCUCUUAUGCAAGUUAAGAUAGUGCAGUCUGCCAAAUACUCACCCCAUUAGAGGAAGAAAAUCUGUUGUGUUUCAAGAAAUAAAAAUACCUAACCAUAUUUAAAAAUUAGUAUAUUUUCCAUUAAGUGUUGCUCUUCUGUCUGAUUUCCACAGAAGUCUACCAUUUUUCUUUCCCUUCUUUUUGACAUCCUGAAGUAGUCUUGGAGCAGAGAUGUAAUUUUGAUUUGACUUCUCACUACUCUUACACUGAUGUGUCUGUGGCCCUUUAUAAGGGCCCUCUGUGUCACCUGACUCUACUGCCAUCCCUUGUGCAUUUUGACAUCACUCAGCACUGUCAGAAUCAAACCCUUAUAAAGCCAUACUGUUCAAAUCCACCUUCAUCUCCCAAACCAUCACCAUCAGCUGCACAGGCCACUUGUCAUUCAGAUCUAUGACCUUGAAUUGCAGAAUUGCUGUGAUUUGUGGGCAUCUCUGAGAUCACCUAAAUGAUCCAUCAAAGUGCAGUCUGAUGGAGCACGUUGCCCAGGACCAUGACCAGUCAGGAUUUUCAAAUCUCCAGGAAUGAAGUCUUCAGAACCUGUCUGAGCUCAACUGCUUGACAACCCUCGCAGCAGAAGUGGAGGGUUUUUUAAUGUUUAAAUGGUAUU